UCUCCGUUGGUGAACCAGCGGAGGGAUCAUUAUCGAGUUUACAACUCCCAAACCCUUAUGUGAACAUACCUACUGUUGCUUCGGCGGACUCGCCCCGGCGUCCGGACGGCCUCGCGCCGCCCGCGGCCCGGACCCAGGCGGCCGCCGGAGACCCCCAAACUCUGUAUUAUCAGCAUUUUCUGAAUCCGCCGCAAGGCAAAACAAAUGAAUCAAAACUUUCAACAACGGAUCUCUUGGUUCUGGCAUCGAUGAAGAACGCAGCGAAAUGCGAUAAGUAAUGUGAAUUGCAGAAUUCAGUGAAUCAUCGAAUCUUUGAACGCACAUUGCGCCCGCCAGCAUUCUGGCGGGCAUGCCUGUUCGAGCGUCAUUUCAACCCUCGACUUCCCUUUGGGGAAAUCGGCGUUGGGGAACGGCAGCAUACCGCCGGCCCCGAAAUGAAGUGGCGGCCCGUCCGCGGCGACCUCUGCGUAGUAAUCCAACUCGCACCGGAACCCCGACGUGGCCACGCCGUAAAACACCCAACUUCUGAACGUUGACCUCGGAUCAGGUAGGAAUACCCGCUGAACUUAAGCAUAUCAAUAAGCGGAGGAAAAGAAACCAACAGGGAUUGCCCCAGUAACGGCGAGUGAAGCGGCAACAGCUCAAAUUUGAAAUCUGGCCCUUGGGUCCGAGUUGUAAUUUGUAGAGGAUGCUUUUGGCGAGGUGCCUUCCGAGUUCCCUGGAACGGGACGCCAUAGAGGGUGAGAGCCCCGUCUGGUCGGACACCGAGCCUCUGUAAAGCUCCUUCGACGAGUCGAGUAGUUUGGGAAUGCUGCUCAAAAUGGGAGGUAUAUGUCUUCUAAAGCUAAAUAUUGGCCAGAGACCGAUAGCGCACAAGUAGAGUGAUCGAAAGAUGAAAAGCACUUUGAAAAGAGGGUUAAAAAGUACGUGAAAUUGUUGAAAGGGAAGCGCCUAUGACCAGACUUGGGCCCGGUGAAUCAUCCAGCGUUCUCGCUGGUGCACUUUGCCGGGCACAGGCCAGCAUCAGUUUGGCGCGGGGGAAAAAGGCUUUGGGAAUGUGGCUCCCUCGGGAGUGUUAUAGCCCAUUGUGUAAUACCCUGCGCCGGACUGAGGUACGCGCAUUGCAAGGAUGCUGGCGUAAUGGUC
rnacentral:sRNA from 1 species